rnacentral:rRNA from 1 species
UACAGAGGUCUCAAGCGUUGUUCGGAUUCAUUGGGCGUAAAGAGCGCGUAGGCGGCCCAGUAAGUCCGCUCUGAAAGUCAGGGGCUCAACCCCUGAAUGCGGGUGGAUACUGCUGGGCUGAGAGCCGGGAAGAGGCGAGUGGAAUUCCUGGUGUAGCGGUGAAAUGCGCAGAUAUCAGGAGGAACACCAAUGGCGAAGGCAGCUCGCUGGGACGGUACUGACGCUGAGGCGCGAAAGCGUGGGGAGCAAACGGG